GAAAGUAGGAAAGGGCAUACGGUGGAUGCCUAGGCUCUUACAGGCGAUGAAGGACGUGAUAAGCUGCGAUAAGCUUCGGGGAGGUGCAAAUAACCCUUGAUCCGGAGAUUUCCGAAUGGGACAACCCAGUAUUUUGAAGAAAUACUAUCCGACCAGUGUCGGAGGCGAACGCAGGGAACUGAAACAUCUUAGUACCUGCAGGAAGAGAAAAUAAACAAUGAUUCCCCUAGUAGUGGCGAGCGAACGGGGAAGAGCCCAAACCACUGUUGUUACGGCAAGAGUGGGGUAGUAGGACCGCGACAUCGGACGAAAGUUUGUGAGAAGAAGCCUCUGGAAAGAGGCACCGUAGAGAGUGAUAGUCUUGUAUUCGAAGCAAACCGAACCGUAGCGGUAUCCUGAGUAGCGCGGAGCACGAGGAAUUCUGUGUGAAUCAGCCGGGACCAUCCGGUAAGGCUAAAUACUCGUAAGAGACCGAUAGUGAACCAGUACUGUGAAGGAAAGGUGAAAAGUACCCCGAACAGGGGAGUGAAAUAGUUCCUGAAACCGUAUGCCUACAAGCGGUCGGAGCUCAGUAAUGAGUGACGGCGUGCCUUUUGCAUAAUGAACCUACGAGUUACCGUCGUUGGCAAGGUUAAGGGUAAUGAUGCCCCGAGCCGGAGCGAAAGCGAGUCUGAACAGGGCGAUGAGUCAUCGGCGGUAGACGCGAAACCGAGUGAUCUACACUUGUCCAGGAUGAAGUCCCGGUAACACGGGAUGGAGGUCCGAACCAAUAAGCGUUGAAAAGCUUCUGGAUGAGGUGAGUGUAGGAGUGAAAGGCCAAUCAAACUCGGAGAUAGCUCGUACUCCCCGAAAGGCAUUUAGGUGCCGCCUCGGACGUUCCCGAUGUGAGGUAGAGCGACUGAUUGGAUGCGAGGGCUUCACCGCCUAUCAAGUCCUGAUAAACUCCGAAUGCGCAUCGGCCAAGUCCGGGAGUAAGGGCAUGGGUGCUAAGGUCCGUGCCCGAGAGGAGAAGAAUCCAGACCAUCGGCUAAGGUCCCGAAAUACUGGUUAAGUUAGACUAACGAAGUCCGGCCCCCAAGACAGCUAGGAUGUUGGCUUGGAAGCAGCCAUUCAUUCAAAGAGUGCGUAACAGCUCACUAGUCGAGGAGCUGGGCGUGGAUAAUAAUCGGGUAUAAAACCAGUUACCGAAGCCAUGGGAUACGUUAAGUAUCGGUAGGGGAGCAUUCCAUUCGGCGUCGAAGGCGCACCGUGAGGUGUUCUGGAGCGUAUGGAAAAGCAAAUGUAGGUAUAAGUAACGAUAAGGGGGGUGAGAUGCCCCCCCGCCGCAAGACCAAGGUUUCCUGAACAACGCUAAUCGGUUCAGGGUUAGUCGGGUCCUAAGCAUAAUCCGAAAGGUGAGGGCGAUGGCAGAAACGGUUAAUAUUCCGUUACUACCGAAUCGCGUGAUGCGGGGACGGAGAAGUGACACGGCCGCCGUCUGACGGAAUAGACGGUUGAAGGGCGUAGGUGUUGAGGAAGGCAGUAAAGUACACCUUCCGAGCUGAAACCUGAUAGUACGGAGCGUUCUUCGGAACAAUCCGAUAGUGCCGGUAACCAUGCUCCCGAGAAAAUCCGCUAAACAAUAACGGUUCGGUACCCGUACUGUAAACGGACACACGUGGUCGGGUUGAAUAUACUAAGGCGCUUGGGUGAAUCACGGUUAAGGAACUAGGCAAAUUGACCCCGUACCUUCGGAAUAAGGGGUCCUCGGUAAGACGAGGCGCAGAGAAUAGGUCCAGGCAACUGUUUAACAAAAACACAGGGCUGUGCGAAUUCGAAAGACGAAGUAUACAGCCUGACACCUGCCCGGUGCUGGAAGGUUAAGAGGAGAGCUCAGAGCAAUCGAAGGCUUGAAUUGAAGCCCCAGUAAACGGCGGCCGUAACUAUAACGGUCCUAAGGUAGCGAAAUUCCUUGUCGGGUAAGUUCCGACCUGCACGAAUGGUGUAAUGAUCUGGACACUGUCUCAACCGUGAGCCCAGUGAAAUUGUAGUAUCGGUGAAGAUGCCGAUUACCCGCGAUGGGACGAAAAGACCCCGUGAACCUUUACUAUAGCUUAACGUUGGAUCUGGGCAUUCGAUGUGUAGGAUAGGCCGGAGGCUUAGAAGUGGGCACGCCAGUGUUCAUGGAGCCGCCGUUGAAAUACGGCCCUUUGGCUGUCUGGGUCCUAACCCGUGUAUUACGGGGACACCGUUUGGUGGGUAGUUUGACUGGGGUGGUCGCCUCCAAAAGCGUAACGGAGGCUCCUAAAGGUGCCCUCAGGCCGAUUGGUAACCGGCCGCAGAGUGUAAUGGCAAAAGGGCGCUUGACUGGGAGGCCGACAGGCCGAGCAGGCAGGAAACUGGAGCAUAGUGAUCCGGCGGUUCCGUAUGGAAGGGCCGUCGCUCAAAGGAUAAAAGGUACUCCGGGGAUAACAGGCUGAUCCCUCCCAAGAGCUCAUAUCGACGGAGUGGUUUGGCACCUCGAUGUCGGCUCGUCACAUCCUGGGGCUGGAGAAGGUCCCAAGGGUUGGGCUGUUCGCCCAUUAAAGUGGCACGCGAGCUGGGUUCAGAACGUCGUGAGACAGUUCGGUCUCUAUCUAUCGUGGGCGCAGGAGAUUUGCGUGGCUCUGACACUAGUACGAGAGGACCGUGUUGGACUGACCUCUGGUUUACCAGUUGUGCCGCCAGGUGCACCGCUGGGUAUCUACGUCGGGAUCGGAUAAGUGCUGAAAGCAUCUAAGUACGAAGCCGGCCACAAGAUUAGAUCUCCCUUGAGGGUCGUUGUAGACGACAACGUUGAUAGGAUGCAGGUGUACAGAUGGCGACAUCACAGCCGAGCAUUACUAAUUGCCCGAUGACUUUCUUACC
rnacentral:rRNA from 1 species